rnacentral:rRNA from 1 species
CAAUAGCGUAUAUUAAAGUUGUUGCAGUUAAAAAGCUCGUAGUUGGAUUUCUGGUAGGAGUGACCGUUCCGAACUUGAUUGUUCGUGUAUUGUGUUUUCUCCAGCCAUCCUUGUGGAGAACUUUUCUUGCAUUAAUUUGUAGGGAUUGGGACCCGCAUCGUUUACUGUGAAAAAAUUAGAGUGUUUAAAGCAGGCAAUCGCUUGAAUACAUUAGCAUGGAAUAAUAAGAUAGGACUUUGGUACUAUUUUGUUGGUUUGCAAACCAAAUUAAUGAUCAACAGGAACAGUUUGAGGAUAUUCGUAUGAACAUGUCAGAGGUGAAAUUCUUGGAUUUUGAUCAGACGAACUACUGCGAAAGCAUUUAUCAAGGAUGUUUUCAUUAA